CAAACCUCAGUUAUGACUCCAGCUGUAGGAAUCACAGUGAUUGUUCUGGUUCUCAUACUGGCUUCAUGUCUCUUUGGCUUCAUGUGGUUAAGGAAGAAAUCAUUCAAAACCACCUCUGACACAAGACACACAGCAGACAUGAGACAGGGAGACUCUAGUCCAGUGUAUGACAACGUCUCAGGCAUGGCCAUGACCCCUACUGCAGUACAGAGAGUGGACACAGACGAGCAGGAUGAC